UCUCCCCACACCUGGUACCAAUUCCAAUCAGUGCCCCUGCUACUCAUCCUGCUCCAUCAUCUGCCUUCAGAUGCCAGUCUGAUCCAGUUCCUGCUGGAUUGUUGCUUACCACUGAAAAUAACCCACCUUCAGAAUCCUCUGCUGCCAAUAGCCACGCCACGCACUGGAACAUCAAGUCUGCAGCCUCACUGAGAAACACAGCCCAGCACCCCCAUCUGCCAGUCCAGCCAUCUUGGGCCCACUACCCCACACUGCCAGUCCAGCCAUCUUCAGACCCAGCACCCCCACUGCCAGUCCAGCCAUCUUUGGACCCAGCACUCCCACUGCCAGUCCUGCCAUCUUUGGACCCAGCACUCCCACUGCCAGUCCAGCCAUCUUCGGACCCACCACCCCCACUGCCAGUCCACACUCAACAGCUUCAAUAAAAUAAGAUUCUUUACCACCUA